GAUAAGAAGGAUGGCAAGGUGAACAAAGGUAUAUGUGAUAUACAUGUUAUUAAGGUGUACCUUACUAAUGCUCACAGUAGCACCUGGGUAUUUGAUACUAGUUCUGUUGCUAAUAUUUGCAACUCGAAACAGGGACUACGGAUUAAGCGAAGAUUGGCUAAGGACGAGGUGACGAUGCGCGUGGGAAACGGUUCCAAAGUCGAUGUGAUCGCAGUCGGCACGCUACCUCUACAUCUACCUUCGGGAUUAAUGUUAGACCUAAAUAAUUGUUAUUUGGUGCCAACGUUAAGCAUGAACAUUAUAUCUGGAUCUUGUUUGAUGCGAGAUGGUUAUUCAUUUAAAUCAGAGAAUAAUGGUUGUUCUAUUUAUAUGAGUAAUAUCUUUUAUGGUCAUGCACCCUUGAAGAGUGGUCUAUUCUUG
rnacentral:rRNA from 1 species